UACGUAGGGUGCAAGCGUUAAUCGGAAUUACUGGGCGUAAAGCGUGCGCAGGCGGUUCUAUAAGACAGAAGGGAAAUCCCCGGGCUCAACCUGGGAACUGCAUUUGUGACUGUAGAGCUGGAGUGCGGCAGAGGGGGAUGGAAUUCCGCGUGUAGCAGUGAAAUGCGUAGAUAUGCGGAGGAACACCGAUGGCGAAGGCAAUCCCCUGGGCCUGCACUGACGCUCAUGCACGAAAGCGUGGGGAGCAAACAGG
rnacentral:rRNA from 1 species